rfam:Picea glauca, whole genome shotgun sequence.
ACAUGCCUACAACAUAGCGUUAAUGCACUAGAUCCCAUUAGAACUCCGCAUUUAAGUGCACUUAGGCUAUAGCAGUAUUGGGAUGGGUGACCGCCCGAGAAGUCCUAGUUUUUUACAUGCC